UACGUAGGGUGCGAGCGUUAAUCGGAAUUACUGGGCGUAAAGCGUGCGCAGGCGGUUCGUUGUGUCCGAUGUGAAAGCCCCGGGCUUAACCUGGGAAUGGCAUUGGAAACUGGCGAGCUUGAGUGCGGCAGAGGGGGGUGGAAUUCCGCGUGUAGCAGUGAAAUGCGUAGAGAUCGGGAGGAACAUCAGUUGCGAAGGCGGCUCUCUGGACCAGCACUGACACUGAGGCACGAAAGCGUGGGGAGCAAACAGG
rnacentral:rRNA from 1 species